GAAGCUGAUCGAACCCGACGUCGAGAAAUGGCUGCAAAAAGGACAGAUCGUUGCCAACACGGCGCGCAGUGUGCUGGAUUACAACGGAAGAGCUCAGAAAACUUGCUUCUACGAGUGGCUUCCCAACCCGAAGGUGCGUUAUUGUCUCGGCAAAGACUCCAGCAAGAUGGUC